GCCAGGUGUGGUGGCGCACACCUGUAAUCCGAGUGCCUCAGGAGGCUGAGGCAGGAAGAUGGCAAGCUCAAAGCCAGCCUCAGCAAUGGUGAGGCGCUAAGCAACUCAGUGAGACCCUGUCUCUA
rnacentral:sRNA from 1 species